rnacentral:rRNA from 1 species
CAUAGGUUAAUGAGGCGAACCGGGGGAACUGAAACAUCUAAGUACCCCGAGGAAAAGAAAUCAACCGAGAUUCCCCCAGUAGCGGCGAGCGAACGGGGAGGAGCCCAGAGCCUGAAUCAGUGUGUGUGUUAGUGGAAGCGUCUGGAAAGGCGCGCGAUACAGGGUGACAGCCCCGUACACAAAAAUGCACAUGCUGUGAGCUCGAUGAGUAGGGCGGGACACGUGGUAUCCUGUCUGAAUAUGGGGGGACCAUCCUCCAAGGCUAAAUACUCCUGACUGACCGAUAGUGAACCAGUACCGUGAGGGAAAGGCGAAAAGAACCCCGGCGAGGGGAGUGAAAAAGAACCUGAAACCGUGUACGUACAAGCAGUGGGAGCCUCUUAAUGGGGUGACUGCGUACCUUUUGUAUAAUGGGUCAGCGACUUAUAUUCUGUAGCAAGGUUAACCGAAUAGGGGAGCCGAAGGGAAACCGAGUCUUAACUGGGCGUUAAGUUGCAGGGUAUAGACCCGAAACCCGGUGAUCUAGCCAUGGGCAGGUUGAAGGUUGGGUAACACUAACUGGAGGACCGAACCGACUAAUGUUGAAAAAUUAGCGGAUGACUUGUGGCUGGGGGUGAAAGGCCAAUCAAACCGGGAGAUAGCUGGUUCUCCCCGAAAGCUAUUUAGGUAGCGCCUCGUGAAUUCAUCUCCGGGGGUAGAGCACUGUUUCGGCAAGGGGGUCAUCCCGACUUACCAACCCGAUGCAAACUGCGAAUACCGGAGAAUGUUAUCACGGGAGACACACGGCGGGUGCUAACGUCCGUCGUGAAGAGGGAAACAACCCAGACCGCCAGCUAAGGUCCCAAAGUCAUGGUUAAGUGGGAAACGAUGUGGGAAGGCCCAGACAGCCAGGAUGUUGGCUUAGAAGCAGCCAUCAUUUAAAGAAAGCGUAAUAGCUCACUGGUCGAGUCGGCCUGCGCGGAAGAUGUAACGGGGCUAAACCAUGCACCGAAGCUGCGGCAGCGACACUAUGUGUUGUUGGGUAGGGGAGCGUUCUGUAAGCCUGUGAAGGUGGCCUGUGAGGGUUGCUGGAGGUAUCAGAAGUGCGAAUGCUGACAUAAGUAACGAUAAAGCGGGUGAAAAGCCCGCUCGCCGGAAGACCAAGGGUUCCUGUCCAACGUUAAUCGGGGCAGGGUGAGUCGACCCCUAAGGCGAGGCCGAAAGGCGUAGUCGAUGGGAAACAGGUUAAUAUUCCUGUACUUGGUGUUACUGCGAAGGGGGGACGGAGAAGGCUAUGUUGGCCGGGCGACGGUUGUCCCGGUUUAAGCGUGUAGGCUGGUUUUCCAGGCAAAUCCGGAAAACCAAGGCUGAGGCGUGAUGACGAGGCACUACGGUGCUGAAGUGACAAAUGCCCUGCUUCCAGGAAAAGCCUCUAAGCAUCAGGUAACAUCAAAUCGUACCCCAAACCGACACAGGUGGUCAGGUAGAGAAUACCAAGGCGCUUGAGAGAACUCGGGUGAAGGAACUAGGCAAAAUGGUGCCGUAACUUCGGGAGAAGGCACGCUGAUAUGUAGGUGAAGCGACUUGCUCGUGGAGCUGAAAUCAGUCGAAGAUACCAGCUGGCUGCAACUGUUUAUUAAAAACACAGCACUGUGCAAACACGAAAGUGGACGUAUACGGUGUGACGCCUGCCCGGUGCCGGAAGGUUAAUUGAUGGGGUUA